rnacentral:rRNA from 1 species
UGAAGAACGCAGCGAUGAAGAACGCAGCGAUGAAGAACGCAGCGAUGAAGAACGCAGCGAUGAAGAACGCAGCGAUGAAGAACGCAGCGAUGAAGAACGCAGCGAUGAAGAACGCAGCGAUGAAGAACGCAGCGAUGAAGAACGCAGCGAUGAAGAACGCAGCGAUGAAGAACGCAGCGAUGAAGAACGCAGCGAUGAAGAACGCAGCGAUGAAGAACGCANCGAUGAANAACGCAGCGAUGAAGAANGCAGCGAUGAAGAACGCNACGAUGAAGGGNUNCCCGNUGAACUUNNNCNUAUNGAUNANCGGAGGAAAAAAAACCAACAGGGAUUGCCUCAGUAACGGCGAGUGAAGCGGCAACAGCUCAAAUUUGAAAUCUGGCCUCUUUCGGGGUCCGAGUUGUAAUUUGUAGAGGAUGCUUCGGGUACGGCUGCGGUCUAAGUUCCUUGGAACAGGACGUCAUGGAGGGUGAGAAUCCCGUGUGAGACCGUCUGCCACGCCCGUGUGAAGCGCCUUCGACGAGUCGAGUUG